UAUUGCACAAUGGGGGAAACCCUGAUGCAGCGACGCCGCGUGAGUGAAGAAGUAUUUCGGUAUGUAAAGCUCUAUCAGCAGGGAAGAUAAUGACGGUACCUGACUAAGAAGCCCCGGCUAACUACGUGCCCGCAGCCGCGGUAAUACGUAGGGGGCAAGCGUUAUCCGGAUUUACUGGGUGUAAAGGGAGCGUAGACGGCGACGAAAGUCUGAAGUGAAAGCCCGCGGCUUAACCGCGGAACUGCUUUGGAAACUUUUUUGCUGGAGUACCGGAGAGGUAAGCGGAAUUCCUAGUGUAGCGGUGAAAUGCAUAGAUAUUAGGAGGAACACCAGUGGCGAAGGCGGCUUACUGGACUGUAACUGACACUGAGGCUCGAAAGCGUGGGGAGCAAACAGG
rnacentral:rRNA from 1 species